rnacentral:rRNA from 1 species
AUACAGAGGGUGCAAGCGUUAUUCGGAAUUACUGGGCGUAAAGCGCGCGUAGGCGGAUGAUUAAGUCAGUUGUGAAAGCCCUGGGCUCAACCUAGGAACUGCAUCUGAUACUGGUCGUCUAGAGUUUAAGAGAGGGAAGUGGAAUUCCAGGUGUAGCAGUGAAAUGCGUAGAUAUCUGGAGGAACAUCAGUGGCGAAGGCGACUUCCUGGCUUAAAACUGACGCUGAGGUGCGAAAGCGUGGGUAGCGAACGGGAUUAGAAACCCCAGAGUCC